rnacentral:sRNA from 1 species
GCUGGGUAUGGUGGCAUGUGCCUGUAAUCCCAGCAGCUCAGGAAGCUGAGAUAGGAGGAUCAUGAGUUCAAAGCCAGCCUCAGCAACUUAGCGAGCCCCUAAGCAACUCAGUGAGACCCUGUGUCUA